GCCCGGCGGCGAAACAAGUCGGUAGAGCGAGACUCUUAAUCUCGGGGUCAUUGGGUUCGAAACCCCACGUUGGGCG